rnacentral:rRNA from 1 species
UACGUAGGGUGCAAGCGUUAAUCGGAAUUACUGGGCGUAAAGCGUGCGCAGGCGGUUAUGUAAGACAGAUGUGAAAUGCCCGGGCUUAACCUGGGAACUGCAUUUGUGACUGCAUGGCUAGAGUUUGGCAGAGGGGGGUAGAAUUCCACGUGUAGCAGUGAAAUGCGUAGAUAUGUGGAGGAACACCGAUGGCGAAGGCAGCCCCCUGGGUCAAGACUGACGCUCAUGCACGAAAGCGUGGGGAGCAACAGG